rnacentral:rRNA from 1 species
GACGAACGCUGGCGGCGUGCUUAACACAUGCAAGUCGAACGCUGAAGCUCAGCUUUUGUUGGGUGGAUGAGUGGCGAACGGGUGAGUAACACGUGAGUAACCUGCCUCCUUCUUUGGGAUAACGCCCGGAAACGGGUGCUAAUACUGGAUAUUCACUGGUCUUCGCAUGGGGGUUGGUGGAAAGGGUUUUUCUGGUGGGGGAUGGGCUCGCGGCCUAUCAGCUUGUUGGUGGGGUGAUGGCCUACCAAGGCUUUGACGGGUAGCCGGCCUGAGAGGGUGACCGGUCACAUUGGGACUGAGAUACGGCCCAGACUCCUACGGGAGGCAGCAGUGGGGAAUAUUGCACAAUGGGCGCAAGCCUGAUGCAGCGACGCCGCGUGAGGGAUGGAGGCCUUCGGGUUGUGAACCUCUUUCGCUCAUGGUCAAGCCGCAACAAUGGUUGUGGAGAGGGUAGUGGGUAAAGAAGCGCCGGCUAACUACGUG